rnacentral:rRNA from 1 species
GACGAACGCUGGCGGCGUGCCUAAUACAUGCAAGUAGAACGCACAGUUUAUACCGUAGCUUGCUACACCAUAGACUGUGAGUUGCGAACGGGUGAGUAACGCGUAGGUAACCUGCCUGGUAGCGGGGGAUAACUAUUGGAAACGAUAGCUAAUACCGCAUAAUAUUAAUUAUUGCAUGAUAAUUAAUUGAAAGGUGCAAUUGCACCACUACCAGAUGGACCUGCGUUGUAUUAGCUAGUAGGUGAGGUAACGGCUCACCUAGGCGACGAUACAUAGCCGACCUGGGAGGGUGAUCGGCCACACUGGGACUGAGACACGGCCCAGACUCCUACGGGAGGCAGCAGUAGGGAAUCUUCGGCAAUGGACGAAAGUCUGACCGAGCAACGCCGCGUGAGUGAAGAAGGUUUUCGGAUCGGAAAGCUCUGUUGUAAGAGAGGAACGGGUGUGAGAGUGGAAAGUUCACACUGUGACGGUAUCUUACCAGAAAGGGACGGCUAACUACGUG